UACAGAGGGGGCAAGCGUUGUUCGGAAUUACUGGGCGUAAAGGGCGCGUAGGCGGCCUGCUAAGUCGAACGUGAAAUCCCUGGGCUCAACCCAGGAACUGCGUCCGAUACUGGUUGGCUUGAAUCCGGGAGAGGGACGGUGGAAUUCCAGGUGUAGCGGUGAAAUGCGUAGAGAUCGGGAGGAAGGCCGGUGGCGAAGGCGGCGCUCUGGAACAUUUCUGACGCUGAGGCUCGAAAGCGUGGGGAGCAAACAGG
rnacentral:rRNA from 1 species